rnacentral:rRNA from 1 species
UACGUAGGUGGCAAGCGUUGUCCGGAAUUAUUGGGCGUAAAGCGCGCGCAGGCGGGAUAUCAAGUCUAUCUUAAAAGUGCUGAGCUCAACUCAGUGAGGGGAUGGAAACUGGUAUUCUUGAGUAUCGGAGAGGAAAGUGGAAUUCCCAGUGUAGCGGUGAAAUGCGUAGAUAUUGGGAGGAACACCAGUGGCGAAGGCGACUUUCUGGACGAUGUCUGACGCUGAGGCGCGAAAGCCAGGGGAGUGAACGGG